UUAUAAAGGAAGUUAACACUUAAAAAUUUUAUUGUGCCACAUGUAUUGGAACUGUUAGGCCACAACCUGAAGGAGUGAUUGAGCAGCUGGUGAAGAGGCGUGGCCAGUCCCAGGAGCACAAGUGGAAGCGGUUAACCUUUGUGACCCUAACCUCAUUUAAAGGCUGGAUGCCACAAGGGAAGUGUCUCAACUUAGAGAUGACCUCCUUUGGAGUGUUUGCUAAGCCCUGAUCCUUAAAAAGGGACUCUAUUGUAAUACUAGAAGCAUCCCCAGACCAUUUUGCUGACUUCUGAACUCAUGGUGGAAAGAGAGGAAGAAGUCUAGAGUCCUCCAAGUUGUAGUGGUAUCUGUGUCAGUAUAAGGAAGAAAAAAAUGCGAAACUGGAAUCCAAACAAAUGGACAAUCUAUUGGUUCAUAACUAGAUUGAGAACUACUGAGGGAUCAAAUGAACCAAACUGGAUGGAGGGAUUAUUGCUGACGUGAAAGCUUAUGGCCUAUAUAGAAAGCUUUUUUGUGGCUUUUCUGUAUGGCAUCACAGGAAAAGUAACUUUUAAAUCUGAUCCCCUGGUUGGAAAUGAGCCAGUUUGGGUACUUGCAGCUCAGAAAGCCAACUGUCUCCUGGGCUUCAUCAGAAGUGUGACUAUCAGGAUAAGAAAGGUGAUCCUGUCCCUCUGUUCCACUCCUGUGGGAUCCCACCUUGAGCCCUGAGGCUCCUAACAUAAGAGAACAUGAACUUGUAGUGAGUCCAGAGGUGGGCUGCAAAAAUAACCAGAGGGCUCCA
rnacentral:lncRNA from 1 species